UGGGCAUUCCUUGGCCUUCCUUUCACCACCUGUUACCUCAUUUCAUUCAGAAUUCCUGGAAGAGGCUGCGCUGGAAUCCCUGGUUUUCCUCAAGUGUGGAAAACACAGCACUGAUGAGAUACCAGUUGAUUUUCAGCAGUAAACUUGUAAGAAAUCGUGACUGAUGUGUAUUUAUUUUUAUAGUUAUCUCCUGCUUUGGUGAGAAAUACUGGGCUUCCAGUUAGUAUAGCAAUGAACUGUUUCCCUUAUGUUUAACUUUACUUAUUUAUUAUUAUUUUUAAAUAAAAAUAACUCUUUGUUUUCGAGACAGGGGCUUGCUCUGUUGCUCAGGAUGGAGUGCCGUGGUGUGACCUUGGCUCACUGAAGCCUCGAACUAACUCCUGGGCUCAAGUGAUUCCCCUGCCUCAGCCUGCAGAGUAGCUGGGACCAUGGAAACGCUCCCGGCUCAGGGCGCCCUGCGUCCCUGGCGCCACCUGGUGUUCCCGCGGCGCCAGCGCAGCCUCUGAGGCCGUCCCGCUCCUUCCACCCGAGCGCGAGGGAGACUCCGGGGCCACCCGCCACAGCCAUAGCUUCUGGGAGCCGGUGGCAAGGCCGAAUUGGGAUGCAGACCAAAUGCACGUGGGUGAUUGGCAGAAAAAGCCUCCCACAGAUGGAGGGAUUUCGGAGGGAACCGAAAAAAAAAAAAGUUGGUAAGCACCCACAGCCCCUACCGAGCCUGGCUUUUUUUUUCUCUCUGACAUAAAAACUUGGAAGAGCACCUCUAGGCAACCAAGGUCAACUGGGUCUGCUUGUACCCGCGCGGCUCCCCCGAAUGCGGAGAGAGCAGCUGGGGAGGCGGGGGAGUACAUCAGAAGCUUAGUAAAAAGCAACGGGGAUUUUGCGCCCUCUUUUUGCUGCUUCAAGUGGAAAGAAGGUGAUGAGAUGUCAGCGGGGAGGGCGACUUCCUCCAUCUCUACUCCACUCCCAGGUCACAAGAGGGAAAUUGCUCCCUAAAGCUCUCUUUCUUAACCCUGUCUGGUGAUGAUUUUACAAUCUCAACAUCUAGAACGAUAACCUCAGCAUGGGCCUGUCACCUCCCGAGGCUCAGAGGUGACACCCAAGGGCUCAAGGCAUCUCCACCUCACUGUUCUCAGCUUUGACGUGCCCCAGUUAAAGGGGCAAAGUGUUAAAAUACUGCGGCUCAGGUUUCAUCCACCCUGUUUGAUUCUGGCUCAGUGGGUUUGGGGUGGGACUCUUGUCAUGGAUAUUUUCAACAGGAACUCCAGGUGUUCCUGGUGCUCCAUAGGUUGAGCACUCCUGCCCUGGCUUCCAAGUCACGCGCUUUGUCCAACAUUCUUCCAAGGGCAGUGCAAAAUAAGAGCCACUGUGAACUCGCAGCGCUCUUGGGCUAGAUUCUGUGCUCCUUGCUUUACAAGCACUCUCAUUUAAGGCUCCUAGGAAUGCUUUGAUGAACAUCAU
rnacentral:lncRNA from 1 species